UACGAAGGGGGCUAGCGUUGUUCGGAAUUACUGGGCGUAAAGCGCACGUAGGCGGAUCGAUCAGUCAGGGGUGAAAUCCCAGGGCUUAACCCUGGAACUGCCUUUGAUACUGUCGAUCUGGAGUCCGGAAGAGGUGAGUGGAAUUCCGAGUGUAGAGGUGAAAUUCGUAGAUAUUCGGAGGAACACCAGUGGCGAAGGCGGCUCACUGGUCCGGUACUGACGCUGAGGUGCGAAAGCGUGGGGAGCAAACAGG
rnacentral:rRNA from 1 species